AAGUCCCUCCCGGGAGAGAGCGGGUAUGAAAUCCCGCCGCCGAAGGCGCAACCGCCCCGGAAACGCUCAGGCAAAAGGACCGGGAGAGGACC
rnacentral:ncRNA from 2 species